rnacentral:misc_RNA from 1 species
GAAAUGCGAUAAGUAGUGUGAAUUGCAGAAUUCAGUGAAUCAUCGAAUCUUUGAACGCACAUUGCGCCCCUUGGUAUUCCAUGGGGCAUGCCUGUUCGAGCGUCAUUUGCACCCUCAAGCUCUGCUUGGUGUUGGGUGUUUGUCCCCGUCUCCGCGCGUGGACUCGCCCCAAAGUGAUUGGCAGCCGGCGUACUGGUCCCGGAGCGCAGCACAUGUCGCGCAAACGAGUGCCUUGGUACGGCGGCGUCCAUAAGCCCCUCUCUCACGCUCUUGACCUCGGAUCAGGUAGGUAUACCCGCUGAACUUAAGC